GAAUGCGUGAAGUCCCCCUGAUUUGGCGGGCUAUUUCUAUAAUCAGGCGCACAUUUGUAACUCUGUGCUCUUCCCCUCCUGUCCGGCUACCACCGCCACCUUUACAUUUCCAAACCCCUCACCCCUCCCCGAGACCAUCCAUCCAAACCCACCGUUCUUUUGAGCAGGGUCCUUGAAUCUUGAAUGCAAACACCAAAUAUUUUACCCUCCGACAACAACAGGGAGAGGACGCGCAACGGACUGACUUUCUCCAUCCUGGCGAAGGAGGAGAGACUGUAGGCUGCCCUGUCCCCCUUUCUGCUCAAAUCAUGUAUUCAAACAGAGUUUAUAAAGACACAGAAAGCAAGAAAUAUUGCAGUGUCGAACAAGGACGUGACUGCAAACUGAGGAAUCUUACUGACAGAAAAGCGACGCUGGAAGAGGAAGAGGAGGGAGUGAUGUGAAGGAGCUGUUGCUGCAGCAGAGACCAGGCACACCGCAUGGGGAAACCCGGGAGCUGUCCAGCAGCAAUGGAGAGAACAAUGACAACAUGAGUGAAGAUGGAAACGGGGUGACUUAGGAGCUCAGGUGGACUUGACUGCUGCUGCUGGAGCCUUCAGCUGGGCGCCGGUGAGAAAAGGUGACCUACGAUUUGGAUGUAUGCACCGAGGAUCGACUGAAAGAGGGACCGACCGAUCGACCUUCCUUCCUCCCCCUUUCCUCUGUCCUCCCUCACCUUCUCUCUCUCUCUUCUCCAUCUUGAGACAGGAGAUGUUCACGAACAAGUUGAAUCAGACGUGAUAACAAACUGUUCCUCACUUUGUCUUCACAGUUAAUGGAUGACGGUCAAAAAGAAAGAAAAUGGAAACUAACACGACCAAUGACAGAAAAGAAGAAAAGGUUAGAAAACAAAAGCUCUUGGAUCCAGCAGGGUGGGAGCAGCAGCUGGACGGGCAACACUCAGAUCAAGCAACACUUUUGUUUCCAUCAGCACCGCCUGAAAUUCCAGAAAGUCAAACAGGUUUAAGUAAGACACAUCCACACCCCCUGCACUCAGAACCAGUCAGAGUGGCCUAAUCCUGGGGCAAAGUAAACAGGGUGUGACCUGUGAUUGCUCUAGUAUGAAUGAAACCUUUUCUUAUUGAAUGUGAAGUUAUAAUUUUUGAAGAAACUACAUUUCUCAAAAUCUAAAGUCAUUUCUUUCCACCACAAACUCAGAAAACAAUUAUCUCAGUUUCAAAAAUUAGAAAAUCAAGGCAAACCCUAAAUACAUUUGGCAAGUUUGCACAGGUACAGGUGGAAAACAAAUUGCAAAAACAAGCAAAAAAGGUGGAGCAAGGAAAGGAAAAGAGCCCAGUCAAGUUCCAACAAGCACAGCAGGAAUAAUCUCAGUUAAAAAAAAAACAUCUAUAGCAAUGAACCAACCAGUUUAUGUCAGUAAAUGCAGGGAAAUUAUGCUUCCGCUUAAGUACACCUCCAAGAACCAGUUUUAAACCACCUUUUAGACUACGUCAGCAUAUUUGAGACUCUUUAAAGCUGCAGAAAGAGAGAGACUUAGUCAUGAUUAAACAAUGCAGGUAGAUAAAUUGUAUUCCAGCUCUUAAGUAGCUUCUGGAACAUAAGGCGAAAACACUACCCCGGCCUAAUGUGACCUAAGGUGACAUCGCUGAUUAUGGAGUUUGUUUGUUUGUUUGUUUGUUUUAUUUCUUGUUAGUAAAACUUUGUUAUUUUAAGACAUUCUAUCAGCUAUUGAUAAAUUAAAUCUCAUACUAAUUCUCUGAUUAUCAAACCAAUGUCAGGGGUUGCUGAGUGGAUGUGGAGAAAAGGACUCAAACGCAGGACUCACGGUGAAGAUUCAGGGUGUUUAUUGUGAGGGACGAAUGACGAAAACAGGAGAUGGCUGACUGACUGAAUAACUGAAUGAACGGCUGACUGAUCUGAACUUGGAAGGCAAACAUGGGUCAUAGACAGCAGUGACAACAUCAAUGACGCGACGCCGACCAGGAGACAACUGAGGACUUAAAUACACUGGCUGAACAAUGACUGAUAGGUGACAGAACAAUGAGAUACACACAUGGACAGGAGGCUGAACAUGCUCAUGGGUGGCUCUUCAGCUGGACACACACAUGGCAGAUCCUGUGACCUUGUUACCGCCGUCGGACCGCAGCUAUUGGACUGCGAGGACGUGGCCGUGACGUGACUGUGGACUUUCAAAACAUCUGAUAGACCGUGUGCCUGUGUAUGUGUGUGUGUGUGUGUGUGUGUGUGUGUGUGUGUGUGUGUGUGUGUGUGUGUGUGUGUGUCAUUAGUAAAAAUAAAUAAAAUUAUAUAUAUUUUUGAAAUCCAUUUAAAGACAAUGUGAUGCUACUAUCUUUCUUACAUAAAUUGUGCCAGGGAAAUUACAUUUCCCUGGCACAAUUAAACAUUAAGUCUAUUGUUUUAAUGUUAAGAAAUUGCCUGCAUAUAUUUGUUGAAUAAACAGCCUUAUGUCAGAGCCUGUGUGUUGAUUAUUAUGUAUUAUUAUUUAAUUCAGCUAUGUGAUAUUGGCUGUGUUGAGGUUGCAGGAUGUAAAUCGGUAUUAAAAAAUAUUUUAAACAUGUGUUUUUUAAAGAUUACUUUGUAAAAGAUGAGAAUUUAACACGACAUUUGUAAAUGUAUUUUAUGUCUGCUGUAUGUAAGGGUGAUUGAGAGACAGCUAGUCACUAUACUCUUAAUUUUACCCUGUUUGAAGCUGUUACACAACUUGCUGCUCCUUCUCGUCAGUGUCACGUUGACUUCGAUCUCUUCUCUUCUGUCAAAGAAUACGAGCAGCUGCAUUAUGUCUACAAGCAAACAAUCUUAUUCGUAUACUUUUGUCCCUCUGCUGAGUACAUGACAGCCCUCGUUUUGUCUCGCAGACCUUUUAUUUGUCACAAUUUUACGUUUAAUUUGCGUGUGUGUGAGAGAGAGAGGAAGCAUGGCGGCAGAUGGGUGUGCUGGAGACUCCAAAAGCUGCUGCAAAUAGCCUUUCGGGGUCGGAGUUGGGGAAACAGAGCACAUACUGCCGAGCUUAAAAUCAUGGCAGUCUGUUCUUGUGAAACAUCUGGACUCUGUAAGCAUGACUGGCUCAUUUGUGUGUAUGAAAAUGUAGACAAAACAAUAAAAUAAAGCGACGGAACAUUCACA
ensembl:lncRNA